UACAGAGGCCUCAAGCGUUGUUCGGAUUCAUUGGGCGUAAAGGGUGCGUAGGCGGCGCGGUAAGUCGGGUGUGAAAUCUUGGAGCUUAACUCCGAAACUGCAUUCGAUACUGCCGUGCUUGAGGACUGGAGAGGAGACUGGAAUUUACGGUGUAGCGGUGAAAUGCGUAGAUAUCGUAAGGAAGACCAGUGGCGAAGGCGGGUCUCUGGACAGUUCCUGACGCUGAGGCACGAAAGCGUGGGGAGCAAACAGG
rnacentral:rRNA from 1 species